GAAAGACUGUAGCUUAGUGGUACAGCAUCUGCCUUUCAUGCAGAAGGCUCCAGGUUCAGUCCAUGGCAUCUUCA